GCACGUGCACCAACAACAGUGUCAGGUACACCGGUUUCUCCUACAACCGCACCGACUGGUUUAACAUUAUCAACAACAACAAGAAAAUCAAGCACUACACAAGUCACCAUCAGUGCACAUGCACCAACUGCAGUGACAGGUACAACGUUUUCUCCUGCAACCAUCCGCACUGAGCCAGUCUGCCAUGGCGAAUGGUCUCCUUGGUUUAAUCAAAAUACUCCGACAGUUUCCGAACCAAAAGACUUGGAACUUUUGUUUCUUAUAAAGGAUAAGUUGUGUCCUCACCCUGAGGAUGUUGGAGUCGU